GAUGAACGCUGGCGGCGUGCCUAAUACAUGCAAGUCGAGCGAACAGAUAAGGAGCUUGCUCCUUUGACGUUAGCGGCGGACGGGUGAGUAACACGUGGGUAACCUACCUAUAAGACUGGGAUAACUUCGGGAAACCGGAGCUAAUACCGGAUAACAUUUGGAACCGCAUGGUUCUAAAGUGAAAGAUGGUUUUGCUAUCACUUAUAGAUGGACCCGCGCCGUAUUAGCUAGUUGGUAAGGUAACGGCUUACCAAGGCGACGAUACGUAGCCGACCUGAGAGGGUGAUCGGCCACACUGGAACUGGGACACGGUCCAGACUCCUACGGGAGGCAGCAGUAGGGAAUCUUCCGCAAUGGGCGAAAGCCUGACGGAGCAACGCCGCGUGAGUGAUGAAGGGUUUCGGCUCGUAAAACUCUGUUAUUAGGGAAGAACAAAUGUGUAAGUAACUGUGCACGUCUUGACGGUACCUAAUCAGAAAGCCACGGCUAACUACGUG
rnacentral:rRNA from 1 species